rnacentral:rRNA from 1 species
CUACGGGGCGCAGCAGUAAGGAAUAUUGCGCAAUGGAGGCAACUCUGACGCAGCCAUGCCGCGUGCAGGAAGAAGGCCUUAUGGGUCGUAAACUGCUUUUAUUUAGGAAUAAACCCCCGAACGUGUUCGGGGCUGAAGGUACGAAACGAAUAAGCACCGGCUAACUCCGUGCCAGCAGCCGCGGUAAUACGGAGGGUGCAAGCGUUAUCCGGAUUUAUUGGGUUUAAAGGGUGCGCAGGCGGGCUAUUAAGUCAGUGGUGAAAUCCCGGGGCUCAACUCCGGAACUGCCAUUGAUACUGAUAGUCUUGAGUUUGGUUGAAGUGGGCGGAAUGUAGCAUGUAGCGGUGAAAUGCAUAGAUAUGCUACAGAACACCAAUCGCGAAGGCAGCUCACUAAGCCAAAACUGACGCUCAUGCACGAAAGCGUGGGGAUCAAACAGGAUUAGAUACCCUCGUAGUC